rnacentral:tRNA from 1 species
GAGGUGUUAGUAAAACCAUUACAUAGCCUUGUCAAGACUAAAUUACAAGUGAAAACCUUGUACACCUCA